UACGUAGGGGGCAAGCGUUGUCCGGAUUUACUGGGCGUAAAGCGUGCGCAGGCGGUUUUGUAAGCCAGAUGUGAGAUCCCCGGGCUCAACCUGGGAAUGGCAUUUGGGACUGCAAGGCUGGAGUACGGCAGAGGAGACUGGAAUUCCUGGUGUAGCAGUGAAAUGCGUAGAUAUCAGGAGGAAUACCGAUGGCGAAGGCAGGUCUCUGGGCUGAUACUGACGCUCAUGCACGAAAGCGUGGGGAGCAAACAGG
rnacentral:rRNA from 1 species